UAGGGAAUCUUCCACAAUGGACGAAAGCCUGAUGGAGCAACGCCGCGUGAGUGAAGAAGGGUUUCGGCUCGUAAAACUCUGUUGUUAAAGAAGAACAUAUCUGAGAGUAACUGUUCAGGUAUUGACGGUAUUUAACCAGAAAGCCACGGCUAACUACGUGUCAG
rnacentral:rRNA from 1 species